AUGGUUGAGAUUUGGGGUCAAUGGUCGAGAUUUGGGUCAAUGGGUGAGUUUUGGGGCCAACGGUUGAGAUUCAAGGCCCCGGGGGAGUCCCUGCGGCUCCUCUGCACAACCUCCGGCUUCACCUUCGGCAGCUACGCCAUGGAGUGGGUGCGCCAGAGCCCCGGGAAGGGGCUGGAAUGGGUCGGUGGGAUCAGGAAUGAUGGUGGUUACACCGCCUACGCGCCGUCGGUGAAGGGCCGGUUCACCAUCGCCAGGGACAACGGGCAGAGCUCGGUGACGCUGCAGAUGAACAACCUCAGGGAGGAGGAUUCCGCCACCUAUUUCUGCNGUUGUCCCUGGCGAUGGUGA